UUUUAUGAUCUAUAUAUUAGUCGCGCAGGUUUUAUUUGACCUUGACCUUAUUUUCACGGUUCAUUGCUCAGUGUUAAGUUUUUGUGUUUUGGUCUAUUUUUCUUAAGCUAUAAGUAUUAGGUCAACUAUAUUUGUUUUAUGGAAGCAUUGUUAGCUGUACAUGUCAGCCUGGCAUGGUUCAUCUGACCUUGACCUCAUUUUCAUGGUUCAUUGGUCUUUGUUUAGUUAUCUUGGUUAAUGUAAUUUUUAUGUACAGUUGUAAUAAAGCUUUAUACUGAGGACUAUCAAAAUAAUAUCAAUGAUUAGUAAAGAAGGCGAGACAUUUCAGUGUGUGCACUCUUGUUCAUUCAAAAUACUGUAACAUUAAACAAGACACAAAAAAGCCGAAAGAAUAAUUAUAAAAUUAUAUUCCUAAAAAUAUAGAUUGGUUGAACAAUAUCAUUGAACUUGUGCUAAAUUAAAAAAAAAUGUGAAAUAUAUGUCAAUGCCAGAGACAGUAACCAAUCAAUGAAACAUGUCAAUGAGACAGUAACCAAUCAAUGAAACAUGUCAUUGAGGCAGUAACCAAUCAAUGAAACAUGUUAAAAUGAUUCCAUACGUCGAUGAGACAGUAACCAAUCAAUGAAACAUGUCAAAAUGGUCCCAUUUGUCAUUGAGACAGUAACCAAUCAAUGAAACAUGUUAAAAUGGUUCCAUAUGUCGAUGAGACAGUAACCAAUCAGUGAAACAUGUCAAAAUGGUCCCAUAUGUCAAUGAGACAGUAACCAAUCAAAGAAACAUGUCAAAAUGGUCCCAUAUGUCAAUGAGACAGCAACCAAUCAAUGAAUCAUGUCAAAAUGGUCCUAUAUGUCAAAAAAACAGUAACCAAUCAAAGAAACACGUCAAAAUGGUCUUCAACAACAGACAAUAUAACAUGUUAUAUAAAUUUUCAUAUGAAGGAAAGACAAAUUUAAAAUAUUUAUUUCAAUCUGAAAAUAGAAACAUUUAUGUUUUCAGUUAGAACAUCUCUUAUUGAUAUAUAUUUGACAUUUGAUCCAUGAACAGUGUUAAUCAACAGAUAGUUUUUACAUUCAAAAUGCCAGAACACCAAUAGUAAACAAGAGAGGAAUGAAAAUCCAAUACCAGAACACCAAUAGUAAACAAGAGAGGAAUGAAAUAAUUGUACAUUUUACCUUUAUUGUCUGCGGAGGUGCAAUUGAUUGUCUUGUGUUUGAUGGAAAAAAUCACACCCUGUUUGUAGAAUACCUCAUUUAGGUUAUAAUGGAAAAUUGGAAUGAGGU